AGGUAUUGCUACUUCCAAUCUUAUGUGCCUUUUCUUCUCCCAUCCCCCUUCUCUAUCCCUAUUUUGUAUGAUUCUUCAUCAUCAAUGUCUCAGUAGCUCAACGAGUAGCGCAAAAUGAAUGUUGCAUCCUAAUACGUGUCACUUGCACAGUUGCACUAAAUAAGUAAAUAUGAUAGUUUGCAUCUGUGCUAAUGUAGAAGAAGUCAUUAGGCCUUUUUCACUGUAUCAUGUUAUACAUUGGAUUAGGAUUGCUGAUGUGAUGUUGUCACUUGUGCAGGACCUCACUCUUCAAGAGGCUGAGACAAUUGCACUUUCCAUUCUGAAGCAAGUUAUGGAAGAAA
rnacentral:misc_RNA from 1 species